AACGCGAAGAACCUUACCAAGUCUUGACAUCCCAAUGACCGGAAUUUAACCGUUCCUUCCCUUCGGGGCAUUGGAGACAGGUGGUGCAUGGUUGUCGUCAGCUCGUGUCGUGAGAUGUUGGGUUAAGUCCCGCAACGAGCGCAACCCUUAUCCUUAGUAGCCAGCACAUGAUGGUGGGCACUCUAGGGAGACUGCCAGGGAUAACCUGGAGGAAGGUGGGGAUGACGUCAAAUCAUCAUGCCCCUUAUGAUUUGGGCUACACACGUGCUACAAUGGCGUAAACAAAGGGAAGCGACCCCGCGAGGGUAAGCAAAUCUCAAAAAUAACGUCUCAGUUCGGAUUGCAGGCUGCAACUCGCCUGCAUGAAGCUGGAAUCGCUAGUAAUCGCGAAUCAGAAUGUCGCGGUGAAUACGUUCCCGGGUCUUGUACACACCG
rnacentral:rRNA from 1 species